GGGGUUGUGGCUCAGCGGUAGAGCACUCGCCUAGCAUGUGUGGGGCCCUGGGUUUGAUCCUCAGCACCACA
rnacentral:tRNA from 1 species